UAAUGAAUUGGCAGACUAGUGCCUUAAAUUUAGAAUUUAAUAAAGUAUAAAAUUUUAUACAUUCGUUAA
rnacentral:tRNA from 1 species